rnacentral:misc_RNA from 1 species
GAUGAAGAACGCAGCGAAAUGCGAUAAGUAAUGUGAAUUGCAGAAUUCAGUGAAUCAUCGAAUCUUUGAACGCACAUUGCGCCCCCUAGUAUUCCGGGGGGCAUGCCUGUCCGAGCGUCAUUACAACCCUCAAGCUCAGCUUGGUAUUGGGCCCCGCCGACCCGGCGGGCCCUAAAGUCAGUGGCGGUGCCGUCCGGCUCCGAGCGUAGUAAUUCUUCUCGCUCUGGAGGUCCGGUCGUGUGCUCGCCAGCAACCCCCAAUUUUUUUCAGGUUGACCUCGGAUCAGGUAGGGAUACCCGCUGAACUUAAGCAUAUCAAUAAGCGGAGGA